UUUUUUUUUUUCAUGGUAAAUAGCUCUACCAAUGCAAUUCAGAAUAUCUUUCCAACAAAAUUCAGUCCCUAAACCAUAUAUUAAACCGUUAAUAUAACAAACAAUCAACCAAAAGCACUACAUUCAGCAAGUGGAUGGGAACUCCUGCUACAACUCAGAAUCCAAACAAAUAAAGAGUAAUUAAAGGAAACAUAUAUACUGAUGGUCAAUGGCAACUCAGAAAAACCAUAGACAUAUAAUGAUCGUUGACGGGAGUUAUCUGAACAGAAAAACCAUCACAUGCCGCUAUGUGAUGCAACUAUUCUUCUAAAUCAUCGAUGUGCCAAAUUCACACCCUGAAACCUCAUCCUCCCCUCAAAUCAUAACCACAUCCUUAACCCAGUUAUUCUCGCAAAAACACUAAACCCCCAAAUGUAUAAAAUCAAACGGGAUUAUAAAUAAUUUUUUUAAAGAAAUUAAAACUUUACCACAUGCUCCCUCUAUACUUCAGCGUGUACGGCCCGCUCUCCAACGCACGAUCGAAGUGGCUAUGUACUUUGUGCUUCCCAUUC
rnacentral:misc_RNA from 1 species